GAUGAACGCUGGCGGCGUGCUUAACACAUGCAAGUCGAACGGUGAAGCAGGAGCUUGCUCUUGUGGAUCAGUGGCGAACGGGUGAGUAACACGUGAGCAACCUGCCCCUGACUCUGGGAUAAGCGCUGGAAACGGCGUCUAAUACUGGAUAUGUGAUGUGACCGCAUGGUCUGCAUCUGGAAAGAGUUUCGGUUGGGGAUGGGCUCGCGGCCUAUCAGCUUGUUGGUGAGGUAAUGGCUCACCAAGGCGUCGACGGGUAGCCGGCCUGAGAGGGUGACCGGCCACACUGGGACUGAGACACGGCCCAGACUCCUACGGGAGGCAGCAGUGGGGAAUAUUGCACAAUGGGCGGAAGCCUGAUGCAGCAACGCCGCGUGAGGGAUGACGGCCUUCGGGUUGUAAACUUCUUUUAGCAGGGAAGAAGCGAAAGUGACGGUACCUGCAGAAAAAGCACCGGCUAACUACGUGCCAGCCGCCGCGGUAA
rnacentral:rRNA from 1 species